rnacentral:rRNA from 1 species
CCUACGGGAGGCAGCAGUGGGGAAUUUUGGACAAUGGGCGAAAGCCUGAUCCAGCAAUGCCGCGUGAGUGAAGAAGGCCUUCGGGUUGUAAAGCUCUUUUGUCAGGGAAGAAACGGUGAAGGCUAAUAUCCUUUGCUAAUGACGGUACCUGAAGAAUAAGCACCGGCUAACUACGUGCCAGCAGCCGCGGUAAUACGUAGGGUGCAAGCGUUAAUCGGAAUUACUGGGCGUAAAGCGUGCGCAGGCGGUUUUGUAAGUCUGAUGUGAAAUCCCCGGGCUCAACCUGGGAAUUGCAUUGGAGACUGCAAGGCUAGAAUCUGGCAGAGGGGGGUAGAAUUCCACGUGUAGCAGUGAAAUGCGUAGAUAUGUGGAGGAACGCCGAUGGCGAAGGCAGCCCCCUGGGUCAAGAUUGACGCUCAUGCACGAAAGCGUGGGGAGCAAACAGGAUUAGAUACCCUGGUAGUCCACGCCCUAAACGAUGUCUAGCUUAGUUGGUCGGUUAUUAUGUCGUUAGACGCGAGUACACGNGUAGAGUACGCCGCGGNGGGAGUCGCGAGAGUAAUAACAGAAAGUAGUACGCGNGAGAGAGACGACGACGGACGACGACGGAGGGAGGAG